rnacentral:rRNA from 1 species
CCUACGGGAGGCAGCAGUAAGGAAUAUUGGUCAAUGGAGGCAACUCUGAACCAGCCAUGCCGCGUGCAGGAAGACAGCCCUAUGGGUCGUAAACUGCUUUUAUACGGGAAUAAACUUUGAUUCGUGAAUCAAGCUGAAUGUACCGUAAGAAUAAGGAUCGGCUAACUCCGUGCCAGCAGCCGCGGUAAUACGGAGGAUCCAAGCGUUAUCCGGAUUUAUUGGGUUUAAAGGGAGCGUAGGCGGCCUAUUAAGUCAGGGGUGAAAGACGGUGGCUCAACCAUCGCAGUGCCUUUGAUACUGAUGGGCUUGAAUAUAGUUGAGGUAGGCGGAAUGUGACAAGUAGCGGUGAAAUGCAUAGAUAUGUCACAGAACACCGAUUGCGAAGGCAGCUUACUAAGCUAUGAUUGACGCUGAGGCUCGAAAGCGUGGGGAUCAAACAGGAUUAGAUACCCUGGUAGUCCACGACCUAACGAUANAUACUACGAUGUUGUGAUAUACAGCAGCGCACGACGAAGAGUA